GAUGAACGCUGGCGGCGUGCCUAAUACAUGCAAGUCGAGCGAACAGAUGAGGAGCUUGCUCCUCUGACGUUAGCGGCGGACGGGUGAGUAACACGUGGAUAACCUACCUAUAAGACUGGGAUAACUUCGGGAAACCGGAGCUAAUAUCGGAUAAUAUAUUGAACCGCAUGGUUCAAUAGUGAAAGACGGUUUUGCUGUCACUUAUAGAUGGAUCCGCGCCGCAUUAGCUAGUUGGUAAGGUAACGGCUUACCAAGGCAACGAUGCGUAGCCGACCUGAGAGGGUGAUCGGCCACACUGGAACUGAGACACGGUCCAGACUCCGACGGGAGGCAGCAGUAGGGAAUCUUCCGCAAUGGGCGAAAGCUUGACGGAGCAACGCCGCGUGAGUGAUGAAGGUCUUCGGAUCGUAAAACUCUGUUAUUAGGGAAGAACAAAUGUGUAAGUAACUAUGCACGUCUUGACGGUACCUAAUCAGAAAGCCACGGCUAACUACGUG
rnacentral:rRNA from 1 species